GUGUCGCCGCCGCGGUAAUACGGAGGGUGCGAGCGUUAAUCGGAAUUACUGGGCGUAAAGCGCAUGCAGGUGGUUUGUUAAGUCAGAUGUGAAAGCCCGGGGCUCAACCUCGGAAUUGCAUUUGAAACUGGCAGGCUAGAGUACUGUAGAGGGGGGUAGAGUUUCAGGUGUAGCGGUGAAAUGCGUAGAGAUCUGAAGGAAUACCGGUGGCGAAGGCGGCCCCCUGGACAGAUACUGACACUCAGAUGCGAAAGCGUGGGGAGCAAACAGGAUUAGAAACCCCCGUAGUCC
rnacentral:rRNA from 1 species